rnacentral:rRNA from 1 species
GCUAACUCCGUGCCAGCAGCCGCGGUAAUACGGAGGAUGCAAGCGUUAUCCGGAUUCAUUGGGUUUAAAGGGUGCGCAGGCGGGCUGGUAAGUCAGUGGUGAAAUACUGUCGCUUAACGAUAGGGUUGCCAUUGAUACUGCUGGUCUUGAGUUUGGUUGAGGUAGGCGGAAUGUGCAGUGUAGCGGUGAAAUGCAUAGAGAUUGCACAGAACACCAAUUGCGAAGGCAGCUUACUAAACCAAAACUGACGCUGAGGCACGAAAGCGUGGGGAGCGAACAGGAUUAGAUACCCUUGUAGUC